AUGCAUCAGGAGAACAUGUGUGAAGCUGCAGGACAGGAAGUGAACAUGGCUCAAAUGACAAAGGCACAUUGUCCCAGUACCGACCCACAGCAGAGAGCAAGACCUGAGAACAAACUGGCCGGCCAGGACUCAGCAUUGACCAGCAUGACAAUGAGCCACACAGAGCCCACAGAGGCGAGAGAAAGAACAGAGAGCGGAGGCACAGCCAAGGCUAGCACACAACCUCUCUGCACUUCAUUAUGAUCUCCUCAUCCUGCAGGAAAGAGGCACUGGCUGUUCUCAGAGCUGCAAACGAGGGAGGAAGGACAGAUAAUGCUCCCUCACCAGCUGAUCUAGCAGACUGACGGCAAUAAAUAUCUGAGCAAGAAGGAGCUUUGAGGUGUGAACUUUCCACAAGACCUCGUCAAUGACCUUGAGGUUUGAUUUGAACAAGAAUUAAAACAUUAAGCUAGCAUUACCCCAGAAAAUUAUUUCAUAAGUUUGUUAAAAACAAAAAAACAUGUUUACAGUAAUGCAUUUACAAUGGCAGUCUAUGAGGAAGGGUAGGAAUAAGCAACUCAUACAAUACACUCUGAAAAAUUAAGGAUAUUAACUGGCAUUGAUGGUUCCAUGAGGAACCUUUAAAAAUAAAGAUUACUAAGGUAAGUAUUUUUUUUUUUUUUUGCAAUAAUUCCACAAAAGAACCAUUUUGGGAUCCUCAAAGAACCUUUCAGUGAAAAGUUCUUAAAAGAACCAUUUUUUUCUUAGUGUGAAAAACAUUUUAAUAAUCUAAAUAACAUUUUGUCCGAGUCAAACCCUAGUGAAAAAUAAAUGUACUAAAAUGUAUUUGAAGCACAUUUAUUUCAGUAAGUAUACUACAAUUACAUUUACAUAUUUAUGUACUUAAUAAUACCCUGCAGUUGUACUUUUAGUAUACUAAACUGGUAUAAUUAAACUCUGCUAUAUUGGAACAACUAAUUUUGUGUUUAAUGCACUUUAAUUGUCUGGAAGUCAUGCUGAAGUCCAACUAAAGACAUACUGAAGUAUAUUUGAUUGUGCUGAAGUGUAACUAUUGCAAGUAUAAAUUUUAAAUAUUUUGCAUUUAAAGGCCAAUAUUAUAAAAAGAUCAUGCAAUCCUCAUCAACAGUGAUAUUAAAACACAUUUUAGGCUUAAUAUUAAGAAAUGUGCAUUGUGCACAAGUAGCAUUCCAAAUAAGUUUAAUUAUAAUUUUUAUAUAAGUCUUGAAUGAUAUGUCAGUGAAUAUGUUAAUAGAUUUGAACUAUACUUUGUAUGAAAUAAAUGUAUUUUAAAUAUAUUACAUUAUUUUUUUUUUACCUUAUAAAUUAAUGAAUGUAUUAAUAUUAAAGGUUCUUCAUGGAACCAUCUAUGCCAAUAAAGAACCUUUAUUUUUAAGAGUGUAUGUUUCACAUAAGGUUCAUUAUUGUGAAAAGGUUCUUUAGAUUUUUUAAAUGUUCUUUACAAAUAAUUAAUUUGUACAAUUAUAUUAUAUUAUAUUUUAGAUAAUAUAUAUUUACAAAUAUA
ensembl:lncRNA